CAGUAGCCACGGUAAUACGAAGGGUGCAAGCGUCAAUCGGAAUUACUGGGCGUAAAGCGUGCGUAGGCGGUUUGUUAAGUCUGUUGUGAAAUCCCCGGGCUCAACCUGGGAAUGGCAAUGGAUACUGGCAAGCUAGAGUGUGUCAGAGGAUGGUGGAAUUCCCGGUGUAGCGGCGAAAUGCGUAGAGAUCGGGAGGAACAUCAGUGGCGAAGGCGGCCAUCUGGGACAACACUGACGCUGAGGCACGAAAGCGUGGGGAGCAAACAGGAUUAGAUACCCCCGUAGUCCCUGUCUCUUAUAC
rnacentral:rRNA from 1 species